rnacentral:rRNA from 1 species
AGUGAACGCUGGCGGUAGGCCUAACACAUGCAAGUCGAACGGCAGCACAGUAAGAGCUUGCUCUUACGGGUGGCGAGUGGCGGACGGGUGAGGAAUACAUCGGAAUCUACUUUUUCGUGGGGGAUAACGUAGGGAAACUUACGCUAAUACCGCAUACGACCUACGGGUGAAAGCAGGGGAUCUUCGGACCUUGCGCGAUUGAAUGAGCCGAUGUCGGAUUAGCUAGUUGGCGGGGUAAAGGCCCACCAAGGCGACGAUCCGUAGCUGGUCUGAGAGGAUGAUCAGCCACACUGGAACUGAGACACGGUCCAGACUCCUACGGGAGGCAGCAGUGGGGAAUAUUGGACAAUGGGCGCAAGCCUGAUCCAGCCAUACCGCGUGUGUGAAGAAGGCCUUCGGGUUGUAAAGCCCUUUUGUUGGGAAAGAAAAGCAGCAGCUUAAUACCCCGCUGUUCUGACGGUACCCAAAGAAUAAGCACCGGCUAACUUCGUG